CAGGCCUUGGUUUACUUACUCCUGUUUGGACUCUCAUUCGUGAGGAGACUGGUGAGAAGGGCCAUGAUGGAGGAGACCCUGGGAUGAAACUGAUAGUAAUCAGGUAGACUCAAAAACUGGUAUACUUCUUUUUUGAAGAUGGAGAGGCACAAUUCUGGAGGGGCGGGAGCUUUCAAAUCAGGAGUCAGACAGUGCCUUUCCCUAAACUGUAGCCAAGAUUGCCACAACAUUUGACCUUUUCCAGUCUUCUGGAAUCUCUCCUGUCUUCCGUGACUUUUUGAAGAUAAUCACUAAUGACUCAGAUAUCUUCUCAGAUAGCUCCUUGAAUAUUCGGGGAUGUAUUUUCGCCCAAGCCCUGCACUGAAUAUGGAAUUAUCAAUUGCCUCAUGGUAUUCAUCACCAGUGAAAAGGCAGACUCAGCAUUGGCCAGAUGAACAGGUGAGUUCAAGCACAGAAGUAUACCCAUUGGUGAUCACGCAGCAUCUUUAAAACAAGGCCACAGGCCGGGUUGCCAGAUGGUUUCAACAAAAGUACCGGACACAUUUGACAUUACAUCACAAUCUAUAUUACAUCUUACUUAGAAAAUACCAGACAUUUAUAUUUUCUCAUUUAUAUUUUCUCAAUUCUUUUCCCGAAUAGUAAGCUCAAAUAUGGGAAUGUCCGGUUCAAAACCAGAUACCUGGCAACCGUCGGCCCAAGAGCUACCCAGUGGGUGAACUAGCCUUAUACAUACAUAGCAACUGAUCUUUCUGCCCUGCAGCAGCUUGUGCUGUUUCCUUGUCUGCCUCCUCAUACACAGUACAGGGUUGCUGUGACAUAAUUAACUAUGAGGCACAGAGGGAAGGGAAAACUGCGAACGCUAUGAGAGAACAAAAGAAAUGACAGAUAUCGUCAGUAACUCUUCGCAUUGUUUGCCUAUAUGUAAAUUUCUAUUAUCAUCAAUGGAAAUAUUUUUUCAUCAUUGUGUGUGUGGUGAAAUUGACAUUUGCUGACAUUUACCUUUACCGAUAAAAAUCUAAUCCUUCCAAGACUAAUUGUAAGUAAUGUCAGUACAAACUUUCCCAUGCUGCUCUGCUAAUGGGUUCAAUCCAGUGAUGAACAACCUCACCUCUCAUUAAAAUCAAUGUGAAUUGAGGACAUUCAAUAUUGUACAAGAAGCAAAAAUACACAAUUGACUAGACAGUCCAACCAACAGAUAGGGAGGAUAUCUCUAUGUACCUUGUAGCUUCUCCUAAAGAUUGUUUGGUUCUUGUUGAAAUAAGUGAAAAAGAAGGCUUAUCAUCUAAAAUCCUCAACAUUUACAAGACUUACAAGUUUAACAGUUUACUCAAUGCUGAGAACUUCAAAACCU